UCGAACGCUUCUUUUUCCACCGGAGCUUGCUCCACCGGAAAAAGAAGAGUGGCGAACGGGUGAGUAACACGUGGGUAACCUGCCCAUCAGAAGGGGAUAACACUUGGAAACAGGUGCUAAUACCGUAUAACAAUCAAAACCGCAUGGUUUUGAUUUGAAAGGCGCUUUCGGGUGUCGCUGAUGGAUGGACCCGCGGUGCAUUAGCUAGUUGGUGAGGUAACGGCUCACCAAGGCCACGAUGCAUAGCCGACCUGAGAGGGUGAUCGGCCACAUUGGGACUGAGACACGGCCCAAACUCCUACGGGAGGCAGCAGUAGGGAAUCUUCGGCAAUGGACGAAAGUCUGACCGAGCAACGCGCGUGAGUGAAGAAGGUUUUCGGAUCGUAAAACUCUGUUGUUAGAGAAGAACAAGGAUGAGAGUAACUGUUCAUCCCUUGACGGUAUCUAACCAGAAAGCCACGGCUAACUACGUGCCAGCAGCCGCGGUAAUACGUAGGUGGCAAGCGUUGUCCGGAUUUAUUGGGCGUAAAGCGAGCGCAGGCGGUUUCUUAAGUCUGAUGUGAAAGCCCCCGGCUCAACCGGGGAGGGUCAUUGGAAACUGGGAGACUUGAGUGCAGAA
rnacentral:rRNA from 1 species